AGGGAUGUCAUUUAUUUUUCUUGAUUUGUUUCUUCAUUUACUUUUGUUGUUUUGUUUUCUUAUAAAAAUAAAAAUAAAUAAUGCAUUUUUUUUUCUUGUUUUCGGGGUUGCAAGUGUGAGUAAUUUUUUGUUCUCUUGACUAAAGACUUGUAGUGUUAUGUGAAUGAUUUUGUUUGCUUUCUUAUUAUGAUAAGUAUGACUAAAUCUUAAAUUGUGCAUCAUUUUUGGUAGAUCAUUAACCUUGGUGAGAAUUUG
rnacentral:lncRNA from 1 species